AUACGGAGGGUGCGAGCGUUGUUCGGAAUUAUUGGGCGUAAAGCGCGUGUAGGCGGUUUGUUAAGUCUGAUGUGAAAGCCCCGGGCUCAACCUGGGAACUGCAUUUGAAACUGUCUGACUAGAGUCUUGUAGAGGGGGGUAGAAUUCCAGGUGUAGCGGUGAAAUGCGUAGAGAUCUGGAGGAAUACCGGUGGCGAAGGCGGCCCCCUGGACAAAGACUGACGCUCAGGUGCGAAAGCGUGGGGAGC
rnacentral:rRNA from 1 species